GCACUUGGGGGAUGUAUAGCUUAGGCUAAUAUAUUUGGUUUAACUAACUAGUUUAAAAAAAUUUUUAUUAAGGAUUAAACUUUGAAAGGAUAUUAUUUAAUAUUAAUUAGUUAAUUUGUUGUUUAAUGUAUUAUAAUUUUUUUUUGCUUUCAUGCAUACUUCUUUACGAAGCAUCGCAAGAAGUAAAGCAUUUUAUAAUAUAAAAAAUUAACUGGAUUUAUUCAGAUGGACAAAUAUAUAUCGAUUUUAUCGAAUAAAGUUCUAGAUAAUAUAUUGAUUAUGACAAUUAUUAUCUAUAUGUCUUGACCAAAUUACGUGCCAGCAGUCGCGGUAAUACGUAGAAGACUAGUGUUAUUCAUCUUUAGUAGGUUUAAAGGGUACCUAGACGGUAAAAUUAGUCCAAGACUGGAUACAGUUUUACUAGAGUUAUAUAUGAGAAGGUGAGUAUUUAAGGAGUAGAGUUGAAAUUCUUUGAUACCUUAACGACUGGUAACGGCGAAAGCAACCUUUUAUCUAAUAACUGACGUUGAGGGACGAAGGCUUGGGUAGCGAACAGGAUUAGAUACCCUAGUAGUCCUAGCAGAAAAUUAUGAAUGCCAUAGAUUAGAACCCAAUUUUGGUCUAUAAAUGAAAGUGCAAGCAUUUCACCUCAAGAGUAAUGUGGCAACACAGGAACUGAAAUCAUUAGACCGUAUCUGAAACCAGUAGUGAAGUAUGUUAUUUAAUUCGUCGUUACGCGAAAAACCUUACCACAAUUUGAAUAUUAUCUUAUAAGAUAAUACAAGCGUUGCACGGCUGUCUUCAGUUAAUGUCGUGAGAUAUUGGUUAAUUCCUUUAAAUUAACGGAAGCCCUUGCUUUAUUUGUAUCUUUAGCCUGUAUUUUUAAAAUACUUGCAGAUAAAUAAAGCAGUUCACCUUUAUAUGGGAUAUGACAAUAGGACCAAGACAAGUCA
rnacentral:rRNA from 1 species